CCAAGAGCAGCAGAAAUAAUUCAGUAAGGCUCAUAAAGACUGGGAGCACCCUCAGUGCACCAGGAACCCAGAUGUGGCUGGGGAGGAGCUGCAUGGUCUCUGCCACACGAUGAAAUAUGCUUCCUGGGAGAGGUAACAAAGAGAAGAACCUAUAAAAGUGAGAUUGCCUACAACUACUAUGAAGUACUCUAUCUGGACACACAAUUUCUAUAUGAUGGUUGAGAAAGGCUGGUAACAGCACCUUCUUCAACAAAAAUUGCUCCUGGUAACAACAUGCAUCAGAUGAAUUAUUUGCUAAUCUCCUGAAAGAGCAAGGAGAACAAGGGGAACAUGUUGGAGCCACAGGGAGAAGUGACACGAGGGCUAGGAUUUCACCACUAGAGAGUGUAAUUCUACUGUGCAACUUGACCUUUUCUGCUCCGAGAGAAAUGGAUUCAAGGUGGGGAACUUAGAAAUGUGCAGCAGUUUGAACAGCAUUGCCUGAAGUCUUUUCUCUGGGUCUCUUACCAAAAGGCACAUUAAGGAAGUACUGUGUCCUUGGAAGAUUAAUGCAUUGCUUCCUCUGUGCAUUGCUUAGCAUGAGUUUCAGGAAGCAUUUUGCAAAGUAAGAUGUAUGUAAACUGGAAUAAAAGCUUAUAUUGAGCUUAUCCUUGAGACAGAUGUUUACACAUUCAAAUUUAAAUUUCAAGCAUUUUAUUAA